rnacentral:rRNA from 1 species
CCCAGACUCCUACGGGAGGCAGCAGUGGGGAAUAUUGCACAAUGGGGGGAACCUUGAUGCAGCAACGCCGCGUGGGUGAAGAAGUACUCCGGUAUGUAAAGCCCUGUCAGCAGGGAAGAAAAUGACGGUACCUGACCAAGAAGCCCCGGCUAACUACGUGCCAGCAGCCGCGGUAAUACGUAGGGAGCAAGCGUUAUCCGGAUUUACUGGGUGUAAAGGGAGCGCAGGCGGCCUUGCAAGUCUGAUGUGAGAGGCCGGGGCCCAACCCCGGGACUGCAUUGGAAACUGCGAGGCUGGAGUGUCGGAGAGGCAGGCGGAAUUCCUAGUGUAGCGGUGAAAUGCGUAGAUAUUAGGAGGAACACCAGUGGCGAAGGCGGCUUACUGGACUGUAACUGACGUUGAGGCUCGAAAGCGUGGGGAGCAAACAGGAUUAGAUACCCUAGUA